GGCCUUCUUUCUCAACGCAAAUUGAAAACAAGCUGGAAAUUUCCAAUCGACUUGGAAUUCUGUGAGCCUCUAAUUCCCCACCGGAGCAAAGAAUAUCCGUGCCCCUGUUGUCUCGUGCCCACCACGCACAGAUGGGCUCUGCGCUUCUCUCAGUUCCUGCGCCUCAGCGAGCUCCAUUCUUCCACUCCUCCUAUGCAACCACUCCGAGAUUGUCUCAUGGACCCAUAACUUCACUCAGAUUUUCAUCAUCUAGGGGCGUCAGCUUCCUCUCUUCCUCCUCUUCCUCCUCUUCUUCUUCUUCUGUUGUAGAUGAAGAAACAAAUUCUUCUCCUCCCGACGACCUCUCUCUUCAGUCUGAAUCAGACCCUGAUGGUUCUUCGUUCAGAGGAUGCAAAGCCUGUGGAAAGGAAGAAAUUGAGAGGGGAUGCAAUGGUGAGGGAAGGAUACAAGGUGGCAUUGCAACAGUCCCAGGUUUUGGUUGGUGGCCUAUAAAGGCAUACAGGCCUUGUCCUGAAUUUGUAGCAUCCGGUGGCAGAUAUAAGCGGCGUGGACAAAGCAUGGACGAGGUUACAUCUGGAGGAGCAAGGACAGAAGCCUCCGCUGCUGCUGGCAAAAAGGACUCGUUGAGCAAGAAAAAGUCGGCGAAGGGGUAAUAUAGGCAGCCUUACCAUCCACAAGUUGAUACACAAACAGGGAGGGAAUGAAGGGUGGAUGAUGUAGAAUUGGUUUCAUGGAAAUAGUACAUGUGAAUGGGUGAAAACUGAACAACAAAUUCUCACUUCUUUAGGCUUCUGUAACAUCAGAAUGCUGCAUUUAAAGCACAGAAAAUUUUCCAAUCCAUGGUUUGUUUGAAGCGUAUCAAGAUUCAUUCUUUGCA